AUGUUGUAGGUGUGCGCAGAUCCAACCGCACUCAGAUUGAAUCCAAUGGCGAUAUUCCUGAGGCGAUCUUGCGACCGGUAGCACCUUUCUGAAGGAAUCUAUUUCGAUCGGUUGGCAGUUUGAAAAAAUUCUUUGUUGAAGAUAGAUCGUUAUUUACAAAUCGAACGAGACAGGAAUCGAAAAAAAUAACAAGAUGUUCAAGAACCAUUUGGAAAUGAUUGGGCGGAACGAAACCCCCAGCAAAAAAGCGAAAUUCUGGCAAUCGUACGUCAGGUCCUUAAAAGGAUCAGAUGACAUUCGUGCUCAUGACUCGCCUAAAAUCCGAUCAUGGAGACCGUGGAGCGCUUAUGUAGACACCCCACCAAAUUUCAGAAGCAUCUUCGCUAAUCCAGAAACUCCAGCAGAAAGGAUUACAUCUCAUGGUUAUCGUUAUCUUCCAGUGCAUAGAGAAACUUACGGGUACUCCCCCAGACCCAUCUACGACCAUCACUACAGCCGAACAAUUCCAUUAGCAAAUUAUGACGUAGAAAGGGCAUGGAAUGAACACCUGAAGCGUAUGUCAGAAAUCGAACGCAGAUAUCCUUCACGCUAUGGACUAUACCUGAAGGAUUGGCCAAAUGCGGUGGUUCCUCAAGAAUAUGAACCUGAAGAUAAGCCUUUAUUCGCUGAAUCAGCACGGGCAAGCAGUGUUCCACCAAUUCGACCAUUUAGCCGUGCCAGGAGCUCUUCGCCUUUUCUCGAUCGAUUACGAGCCAGUUCAGUAGAACCCGGAUUGGAUUCACACUUUAGUAAGUCUGAUUCUGAUACACCAUUAGCUCCAAGACGCUUACGCGCUAGCUCACUGGAUCGCGUCGGUUCAUUGGAGCUGGAUCUGCUUUUUAGCAAAUAUGACAGGUUAUUAGACUAUCGUUCCCAUUCCCCCACUCCAGUGAAACCUGGCCGUUGGGCACCUCGUGAACCCGAAGUAGCAUACGACAGUGAUGGACUACCAAUCUACCAUGGUGCCUUUAGAAGGAAUAACUUUGAUAGUCUACUCAAUCCAAGCCCACGAUUGCCGAUUACAGCAAUCACCCGUGAUCCAUGGUGGUGGGAUAUUGAAGAUUUGAGGCCCUACCGGUUGUACCCAUAUCGUGCCUUACCACCUUAUUUGAGGGACUCAUACUUGUCACCAGUCAAGAGGACCUACUUGUGGGAUAAACAUCCAAUCAGGCCAUUCGAUGAAGAAGAAAUCUAACCAAACCUUGAAAGCGAAUAUCGAGCUUGUAUGCAAAAGGAAGACGCACUCACUUAUUUACUAAACUAACCCAUUUUCUUUUCAGUGCUCACGCCUUCUAGGCCAUUUGAUGAUUAAAUAAAUAUGCAAAUCAAGGUACGCAUUCUCAUAAAGAUGAGACAAACGAA